rnacentral:rRNA from 1 species
GCAGCAGCCACGGUAAUACGGAGGGUGCAAGCGUUAUCCGGAUUUAUUGGGUUUAAAGGGUCCGUAGGCGGAUCUGUAAGUCAGUGGUGAAAUCUCACAGCUUAACUGUGAAACUGCCAUUGAUACUGCAGGUCUUGAGUAAAUUUGAAGUGGCUGGAAUAAGUAGUGUAGCGGUGAAAUGCAUAGAUAUUACUUAGAACACCAAUUGCGAAGGCAGGUCACUAAGAUUUAACUGACGCUGAUGGACGAAAGCGUGGGGAGCGAACAGGAUUAGAUACCCCGGUAGUCCCUGUCUCUUAUAC